rnacentral:rRNA from 1 species
AAACCCGGGAAACUGGGGUUAAUACCCCAUAGGCUAUGGAUGCUGGAAUGCUCUGUAGUUGAAAGGUCCGCCGCUUCAGGAUGGGUCUGCGGCCGAUUAGGUUGUUGUUGGGGUAACGGCCCAACAAGCCUGUAAUCGGUACGGGUUGUGGGAGCAAGAGCCCGGAGAUGGAUUCUGAGACACGAAUCCAGGCCCUACGGGGCGCAGCAGGCGCGAAAACUUUGCAAUGCGAGAAAUCGUGACAAGGGAACUCCGAGUGCCUGUAAAAUCAGGCUGUCCGUCAGUGUAAAUAACUGGCGAAGAAAGGGCCGGGCAAGACCGGUGCCAGCCGCCGCGGUAAUAC